rnacentral:lncRNA from 1 species
CCUAAACUCUAAUCCAAAUCCUAAAUCCUAAAUCAAACCUUAAAUCAAACCCUAACCAAACCCUAGUCCAAACUCUAAUCCAAACCCUAAAUCAAAUUCUAACCAAAUCCUAAAUCCUAAUCCAAACCCUAAUCCAAUCCUAAACUCUAAUCCAAAUCCUAAACCAAACCUUAAAUCAAACCCUAACCAAACCCUAAUUCAACCCUAAAUCCUAAACCAAACCUUAAAUCAAAUCCUAAUCAACCUCUAAUCCAAACCCUAAAUCAAACCCUAACCAAACCCUAAAUCCUAAUCCAAACCCUAAUCCAAACCCUAAUCCAACCCUAAACUCUAAUCCAAAUCCUAAACCCUAAAUCAAACCUUAAAUCAAAUCCUAACCAAACCCUAGUCUAAACUCUAAUCCAAACCCUAAAUCUUAAUCCAAAUCCUAAACCCUAAACCAAACCUUAAAUCAAACCCUAACCAAAUCCUAAUCCAAACCCUAAUCCAAAUCCUAAAUCAAACCCUA